AGAGUUUGAUCCUGGCUCAGAACGAACGCUGGCGGCACGUUUUAAGCAUGCAAGUCGAAUGGUAGCAGGGGCAACUCUGUGAGAAUGGCGAACGGGUGAGUAACACGUAGGUGAUCUGCCUUAGAGUUGGGGAUAGCUUGUGGAAACACAAGGUAAUACCGAAUGAGCUUUGCGGACUGUGGUUUGCAAAGGAAAGGGGC
rnacentral:rRNA from 1 species